GCCACCACACCUGGCCUUAUUUCUAUAUUUUGAAACACGAUGAAAAGAUAUAAUGUAAGUCAUCUUGGACAUCUAGCCCAGUGGAGCCUUCAGAUACUCUCCCCAACUGCUACCUUAUUGCCGCUUCCUCAGACCUUCAAGUGAGAACCACUUAGCUGAGUCCUGUCAACCUACAGAGCUGUGAGAUAUAGUAAAAUGGUUUUUCUUCUAGCCACUAAGUUUUGGGGUAGUUUGUUUUAUAGCAACAGAUAACUGAAACAGCUGCCUGAGAGCCUCUCUGGGUGAGUUACAAGAUCUUCCCAAGUUGUGUCUUUAGGUGCCUUCUUAGAAUUUCAGAUCUUCCUGUCCAAUGUCCAUUUUAGCUUUUUCUGUUCAUCUUCAUUUCUACUGACACCAUUCUUUUCUGUACUCUCAUAAUCUCCAAUUGCCCAACUGAUUCCAGCCUUCAAUUUUCUUCAGUCCAUCCUGCAUUCAUCUGAAAGAAUGUCUGCAUAUUAAAUUUUCUUAAAACACAGUUUUGGUUAUAUUUCUUUCUAAAUUCAGUAUUUUUGUCAAUACUUAGAACAAAUAAUUGCAGUUCCAUUUCCCACUACAGCCUAGAUCUAAUCUUGAACUUUUGCCCAUAGGCUUUAUAACCUUAAAGAGUCCUGAAAUUAUUGGCAUGUAUUUCCAGCUAUACAAAAUUCCAGAAUUUUAUAUGACAAUUUAAAAGGAUAUUUUAUAAAUUAAUAAUUUCAUGUGUGAAGGACCCAACUUCAGUUUGCAUAUAUAUUUUGAUUUGCUGCCUUUGUGCAAAUAACUGCAAUGUAUUGUAUUAUUACUUAGGUAUAUGGAGGUUCACCAAAUCUUAAUCCUUAGCUUGCAGAAUUACUGGAAACCAUGUGUGUGCUAUAUCGGUGCCAGAUAUGUCAUUUAUAGAUCACUCUUUCAUAAGGCAGCAAACUACUUCCUAUGCCCAAAUCAUUUUCUUUCUGGAAAAGAUACAUUGUGUCAGCAUGGUUACCAUGUGUGGUAAUUGAUAAUGUCUGUGCCACAUGGCUUACUUCUACCCUUGUCCGGCACAGCUAUUCUACCACCUAUGAUUACCAUAUGCUACAGCACUCUAGGUUAAUGGAAUCAUUUCCAUCUUCCCUUCUAGUCACAAAUGUCAUUGUGGCUCAAUUCCAUCAGCUCAACUAAGAAUAAAAUAUUCCGUACUAUCUAAGCAAAGAACACACCUUUGUGAAGUUUUCAUAUUUAGUUGACUGUUUGAUUUUCAUUUUUAAAAGCUAAUUUUUUUUUGAUGCAUGUUCCAGAGUGAAGAUUGGGCAUCUGCUGACUAAAAUAGGACAUGAUCAGUAUCACUCUGAAUUCUUGCAUGUAUUUAUUUAAAAUAAACAUAUAAAGAUAGUUAAAAAUUAGAUGAUAAUAAAGGUAAAGUUUUUACCACCAUAAAGCAUUUUUCUUUUGUAAAGUGAAAACUAGUAGCAAAAGGUUGAAGUGGAUUUUUAAAACAGUGUCAAUUUAUUUUGGAAGAACCAUUUAUUAUAGAAGGAACAUACCACAUGUUAGCCAUUUAUAGCACCAUCAUCAAAUUACCAUCAAGCACUGCCCUCUUCUUUUGUAAGUAUAUCAUAAUAAAUAAUUUUGGUUCCUCAAAGAACCAUGCUAGAUAAAAAGAUUUUUAUUAAUGGUUAAAACAAGAAUAAAGGUUAGAAUCUGUUUUGGGGAUUUACUUCUUUGUUUUUUAAAACUAGUAAAAUAUAGUGCAUGUGGACCAGUUA